GUGAAUAUAGCGCAUCUCUUCGGAGAGCGUGACCUCCACUUUCAACUCUGUGCAUUUUUUGGCGAGGGAACGAGACGAAGCGACGCAAGUUGCAGACUCUCGCCUCUUGCGGCUCAUUCUAAACACUAGUUAAAGUAUGUAACGAAAUAUCGAAACAAAAA
rnacentral:misc_RNA from 1 species